UCCUGGCUCAGGAUGAACGCUGGCGGCGUGCCUAACACAUGCAAGUCGAACGAAGCACUGCGGAUGGAGAUUCGUCAAAUCUGCUUUGACUUAGUGGCGGACGGGUGAGUAAUGUGUGAGCAACCUGCCUUUCAGAGGGGGACAACAGUUGGAAACGACUGCUAAUACCGCAUAAUGUAUUGGAAGGGCAUCCUUUUGAUACCAAAGGAGCAAUCCGCUGAAAGAUGGGCUCACAUCUGAUUAGCUAGUUGGUGGGGUAACGGCCUACCAAGGCUGCGAUCAGUAGCCGGACUGAGAGGUUGAACGGCCACAUUGGGACUGAGAUACGGCCCAGACUCCUACGGGAGGCAGCAGUGGGGAAUAUUGGGCAAUGGGCGAAAGCCUCGACCCAGCAACGCCGCGUGAAGGAAGAAGGUCUUCGGAUUGUAAACUUCUUUUAUGAGGGACGAAGGACGUGACGGUACCUCAUGAAUAAGCCACGGCUAACUACGUGCCAGCCGCGGC
rnacentral:rRNA from 1 species